rnacentral:tRNA from 1 species
GGAGAGUUGUCCGAGCUGGCCGAAGGAGCACGAUUGGAAAUCGUGUAGUGGGUCAAAGCCUACUCGAGGGUUCGAAUCCCUUGCUCUCCGCCA